AUGGUGAAGAUCUGCUGCAUCGGCGCGGGCUACGUGGGUGGCCCGACGAUGGCGGUGAUCGCGCUCAAGUGCCCGGACGUGGAGGUGGUGGUGGUGGACAUCUCCGAGGCGCGCAUCGCCGGCUGGAACAGCGACCGCCUCCCCAUCUACGAGCCCGGCCUGGACGACGUCGUCAAGCGCUGCCGCGGCCGCAACCUCUUCUUCAGCACCGACGUGGAGCGGUACGUGGGCGAGGCGGACGUCGUCUUCGUCUCCGUCAACACCCCCACCAAGACCCGCGGCCUCGGCGCCGGCAAGGCCGCCGACCUCACCUACUGGGAGAGCGCCGCGCGCAUGAUCGCCGACGUCUCCCGCUCCGACAAGAUCGUGGUCGAGAAGUCCACCGUGCCCGUCAAGACCGCGGAGGCCAUCGAGAAGAUCCUCGCCCACAACGGCCGCGGCGUCCGCUACCAGAUCCUGUCCAACCCGGAGUUCCUCGCCGAGGGCACCGCCGUGCGGGACCUCUUCGCGCCCGACCGCGUCCUCAUCGGCGGCCGCGAGACCCCCGAGGGCCAGGCCGCCGUGAAGGUCCUCAAGGGCGUGUACGCGCGCUGGGUCCCCGAGGACCGCAUCAUCACCACCAACCUCUGGUCGGCCGAGCUGUCCAAGCUCGCCGCCAACGCCUUCCUCGCGCAGCGCAUCUCCUCCGUCAACGCCAUCUCCGCGCUGUGCGAGGCCACCGGCGCUGACGUCGCCGAGGUGGCCUGCUCCAUCGGCAAGGACUCGCGCAUCGGCCCGCGCUUCCUCUCCGCCAGCGUCGGCUUCGGCGGCUCCUGCUUCCAGAAGGACAUCCUCAACCUCGUCUACAUCUGCGAGUGCUACGGCCUCCCCGAGGUGGCAGAGUACUGGCGGCAGGUCAUCGGCAUCAACGACUACCAGAAGAGCCGCUUCGUCAACCGCGUCGUCUCCUCCAUGUUCAACACCGUCGCGGGGAAGAAGGUGGCCGUGCUGGGGUUCGCCUUCAAGAAGGACACGGGCGACACGCGCGAGACGCCGGCCAUCGACGUGUGCCGGGGCCUGCUCGGGGACAAGGCCGUCGUCAGCAUCUACGACCCGCAGGUGACGGAGGAGCAGGUGCGGCGCGACCUCGCCAUGAGAAAGUUCGACUGGGACCACCCGCGGCACCUGCAGCCCGUGGGCGAACCCGGCGAUCAGCAGCCGGUCGCCGUCACGACGGACGCGUACGAGGCCGCCCGCGACGCGCACGCCGUCUGCAUCCUGACCGAGUGGGAGGACUUCAGGAGCCUCGACUACAGGCGCAUGUACGACGUCAUGCAGAAGCCGGCUUUCGUCUUCGACGGCCGCAACAUCGUCGACCCGGAGAAGCUCCGGGACAUCGGAUUCAUCGUCUACGCCAUUGGCAAGCCGCUUGAUCAGUGGCUCAAGGACAUGCCAGCCGUCGCCUGA
rnacentral:rRNA from 1 species